GAUGAACGCUAGCGGCAGGCCUAAUACAUGCAAGUCGAACGGGUUGUAGAGGCUUGCUUCUUAUGAGAGUGGCGCACGGGUGCGUAACACGUAUGCAACCUACCUUCAACAGGGGGAUAGCCUUCCGAAAGGGAGAUUAAUACCGCAUAAUAUAAUUGAACGGCAUCGUUUGAUUAUCAAACUUACAAGGGUUGAAGAUGGGCAUGCGUCCGAUUAGUUAGUUGGUGAGGUAACGGCUCACCAAGGCAUCGAUCGGUAGGGGAUCUGAGAGGAUGACCCCCCACACUGGUACUGAGACACGGACCAGACUCCUACGGGAGUCAGCAGUAAGGAAUAUUGGUCAAUGGACGCAAGUCUGAACCAGCCAUGCCGCGUGCAGGAAGACGGUCCUCUGGAUUGUAAACUGCUUUUGUUAGGAAAGAAACCCUCGGUUGCGAUCGAGGCUGACGGUACCUAAAGAAUAAGGAUCGGCUAACUCCGUGCCAGCAGCCGCCGUAAUAC
rnacentral:rRNA from 1 species